GAUAAACGCUGGCGGCGUGCCUAACACAUGCAAGUCGAACGAUCCCGCAAGGGAGAGUGGCGGAAGGGUGAGUAACACGUGGGAAUCUACCUCCUCGCAGGGAACAACCUCUCGAAAGAGAGGCUAAUACCCAAAGGGUCAGAAAUGAUCAGAGUCGAAAGGCGUGAGGAGAGGAGCCCGCGGCCCAUCGGCUAGUUGGUGAGGUAAUGGCUUACCAAGGCUACGACGGGUAGGGGAUCUGAGAGGAUGUCCCCCACACUGGAACUGAAACACGGUCCAGACGCCUACGGGUGGCAGCAGUGAGGAAUAUUGGACAAUGGGCGAAAGCCCGAUCCAGCAACGCCGCGUGGAGGAUGAAGGCCUUCGGGUCGUAAACUUCUUUAGAGGGAGACGAGAAAGGACGGUAUCCCUAGAAUAAGCGACGGCAAACUACGUGCCAGCAGCCGCGGUAAU
rnacentral:rRNA from 1 species